rnacentral:lncRNA from 1 species
GUGUAUAUGUGUGUGCGCGUAGAUUGAGAGGGAGAAAGAGGGGCAAAGACCUUCAUCUUAUAAACACAAAAAAAUUCAGCAAUUAGGAAGGAAAUUGGUGAUCAAUCUUAUGCAUGAAGAUCAUCUCUUAACCAUCAAAGUUUGAUAAUCAUAAGGUGUGAAAGAACAAGGAUCAAUCAAAAAGAGGUCACAAAGUUCAAACGAUCGAGAUGAGAAUGGUCGAACUCUUGGCGUGAUAAAACUAGUAGAACUGGUGAAAAGAUGCACACGAGCGGAAGCUCAUUACAUGGAUGGACGAGGUCAAUCUAGUUUUAACACGCGCUCAUAAGGGGCGGGCUGAAUCGGGACACGGAUCAUUGUUUAUGAUAAGCAUCAUAUCAAGAUGACGCUAACAUGAAAGGAAAAUGGGUCAAAAGGAGGCGAGGAAGCAAUAACGAAUACAGACGCUUAAUGUAAGUGAUUAUCGAUCUCACUUCUUAUUUUGUUUAGAUAAAGUAUCUAUAUUUGAGUAGUUGAAAUCAAGUAAGGAUGUAUAAAUAAUGGAAUUUCUAGGAUAUGGAUGGUUGUAAUGGUCGAUGGAUGUCAAUCCGGUGAAACCUCAACAAAGGGGCAAACGAGUUAAAACUUUUAGAAGAAAUAUUUAGCGGAAGAACAUGUGGAUUGGAUUAGGAAAUGUAUGGAAUGAAUUGAGAAAUUGAAUAAUGAUUUAUAUCACGUAAUAGAACCACUGAGACACACGGUUAGUGAGUAGAAAGAACAAAACGCAAAAUCAGUGUCUGAGCUGCAGAGGAGGCGUCGGCGACGCCCAGCCGUGUUGCAGCCGGCACCUUAUCUUACUGUCUACACGGGUCCGACGCAGGAAACCCGUUUUCACGUUUUUCUCAUUUUUCCUCGCUUCCAAGGCCCCACUAAGCUUCCCAAAGGCAUCCUAGGCCUACUAUAGAGUUUUGUGAGGUACAUGUAAGAACGAAAACUUAGGAGGGCAAGUACGAAGAUGUGACAUGUAUGUUGAUAUGUUUUCUUUAUGUACAUGGGUAAGUUUUUAGUAAGUAAAACUUAUUGGGUGUUAGUUGCAUUUUUAGGCACGUUUUUAUUGUAUAUUUAUGUUAAAAUUCACCACAUAUCAUGCAUAUAUCAUAGUCAUACCUCAUUAUUUUGUUAAACACGUGUUUUUGUGGAAUGGAAUCUACUUUGGUUGGUUUUUGGUUGAUACUGUAGGUGCGGAGCGCUUGCUAAGGAAGGCAUAGGAGUCGGAAAGAGUUGGAAGGAUUUUUGAAGGCAAAUGUUUCAAGACGAGAGCUAUUAGUCUUGAAAGAAGCAAGUUGAAGUGAUAAAAUUAGACGGAUGCCGAAAAAGAACGUAAUUGGCCGAAGGUUUAUUCUAAUUUGUUCACAUAAAAAUUGUGAAUAUGAUUAAUUAGAGAUUGAUGAGAAUACCAAGAUAUGGCACGUUAGGCCUUCAAGUUCACUCAUCUUUGUGUAUUUGGAUUAAUUAAGAAAGUGGGCUUCAUAAAUUUAUUAGUGCGGGCUUCGGUGGAAGUUAACUUACAAAAGCUACAUAGAAUGAAAUUGGACAAGUAAACCUAGGCUUGGGGGCCCAGCUGCAAUAACAUCAACAAAAACAACCUGGACGACUUCGAAGACGGCUGCAAUCCAGAGAGAAGCAAGAGUUGGGAUUUUGGGAAGUAUUUUUGGUUUCGUACGUUGUUAGUUCUAUGUUUUGUUUCGUUUUAGUAUUGAUUGUUCUAGCCAUCAUGUCCGGCUAGACUCUUAUAGUUUCGACAUUAGGGUUUAUUUUCUUUGAUUUGGUUCACAAUCUUAUGUGAAACGAUCACGUUUGAUUCGAUUAUUUUAGUGGUUUGUUUGUGUGAU